rnacentral:rRNA from 1 species
GAUCAGUGGCUACAGAACGACGCUGGCGGCAUGCCUAACACAUGCAAGUCGAACGAGACCUUCGGGUCUAGUGGCGCACGGGUGCGUAACACGUGGGAAUUUGCCUCGGGGUAUGGAAUAACUCAGGGAAACUUGAGCUAAUACCAUAUAAUGUCUUCGGACCAAAGAUUUAUCGCCCUGAGAUAAGCCCGCGUAGGAUUAGCUAGUUGGUGGGGUAAAGGCUCACCAAGGCGACGAUCCUUAGCUGGUCUGAGAGGAUGAUCAGCCACACUGGGACUGAGACACGGCCCAGACUCCUACGGGAGGCAGCGGUGGGGAAUAUUGGACAAUGGGCGAAAGCCUGAUCCAGCAAUGCCGCGUGAGUGAUGAAGGCCUUCGGGUUGUAAAGCUCUUUUACUCGGGACGAUAAUGACGGUACCGAGAGAAUAAGCCCCGGCUAACUCCGUG